GGGUUGUGAGGUUAAGCGACUAAGCGUACACGGUGGAUGCCUAGGCAGUCAGAGGCGAUGAAGGGCGUGCUAAUCUGCGAAAAGCGUCGGUAAGCUGAUAUGAAGCGUAAUAACCGACGAUACCCGAAUGGGGAAACCCAGUGCAAUUCGUUGCACUAUUGCAUGGUGAAUACAUAGCCAUGCAAGGCGAACCGGGGGAACUGAAACAUCUAAGUACCCCGAGGAAAAGAAAUCAACCGAGAUUCCCCCAGUAGCGGCGAGCGAACGGGGAAGAGCCCAGAGUCUGAAUCAGUUGGUGUGUUAGUGGAAGCGUCUGGAAAGUCGCACGGUACAGGGUGAUAGUCCCGUACACAAAAACACACUGGCUGUGAACUCGAUGAGUAGGGCGGGACACGUGACAUCCUGUCUGAAUAUGGGGGGACCAUCCUCCAAGGCUAAAUACUCCUGACUGACCGAUAGUGAACCAGUACCGUGAGGGAAAGGCGAAAAGAACCCCGGCGAGGGGAGUGAAAUAGAACCUGAAACCGUGUACGUACAAGCAGUGGGAGCACCUUCGUGGUGUGACUGCGUACCUUUUGUAUAAUGGGUCAGCGACUUAUAUUUUGUAGCAAGGUUAACCGAAUAGGGGAGCCGUAGGGAAACCGAGUCUUAACUGGGCGUCUAGUUGCAAGGUAUAGACCCGAAACCCGGUGAUCUAGCCAUGGGCAGGUUGAAGGUUGGGUAACACUAACUGGAGGACCGAACCGACUAAUGUUGAAAAAUUAGCGGAUGACUUGUGGCUGGGGGUGAAAGGCCAAUCAAACCGGGAGAUAGCUGGUUCUCCCCGAAAGCUAUUUAGGUAGCGCCUCGUGAACUCAUCUUCGGGGGUAGAGCACUGUUUCGGCUAGGGGUCCAUCCCGGAUUACCAAACCGAUGCAAACUCCGAAUACCGAAGAAUGUUAUCACGGGAGACACACGGCGGGUGCUAACGUCCGUCGUGAAGAGGGAAACAACCCAGACCGCCAGCUAAGGUCCCAAAGUCAUGGUUAAGUGGGAAACGAUGUGGGAAGGCAUAGACAGCCAGGAUGUUGGCUUAGAAGCAGCCAUCAUUUAAAGAAAGCGUAAUAGCUCACUGGUCGAGUCGGCCUGCGCGGAAGAUGUAACGGGGCUAAACCAUGCACCGAAGCUGCGGCAGCGACGCUUAGGCGUUGUUGGGUAGGGGAGCGUUCUGUAAGCCGUUGAAGGUGGCCUGUGAGGGCUGCUGGAGGUAUCAGAAGUGCGAAUGCUGACAUAAGUAACGAUAAUGCGGGUGAAAAACCCGCACGCCGGAAGACCAAGGGUUCCUGUCCAACGUUAAUCGGGGCAGGGUGAGUCGACCCCUAAGGCGAGGCUGAAAAGCGUAGUCGAUGGGAAACAGGUUAAUAUUCCUGUACUGGGUGUGACUGCGAAGGGGGGACGGAGAAGGCUAGGCUAGCCGGGCGACGGUUGUCCCGGUUUAAGCAUGUAGGCGGAGUGACUUGGUAAAUCCGGUUGCUUAUCAACGCUGAGGUGUGAUGACGAGCCACUACGGUGGCGAAGUAGUUGAUGCCAAGCUUCCAGGAAAAGCCUCUAAGCAUCAGGUGACAUUCAAUCGUACCCCAAACCGACACAGGUGGUCAGGUAGAGAAUACUCAGGCGCUUGAGAGAACUCGGGUGAAGGAACUAGGCAAAAUGGUGCCGUAACUUCGGGAGAAGGCACGCUGGCAUUAGGUAAAGAGACUUGCUCUCGGCGCCGAAGCCAGUCGCAGAUACCAGCUGGCUGCAACUGUUUAAUAAAAACACAGCACUGUGCAAACACGAAAGUGGACGUAUACGGUGUGACGCCUGCCCGGUGCUGGAAGGUUAAUUGAUGGGGUCAGCCGCAAGGCGAAGCUCUUGAUCGAAGCCCCAGUAAACGGCGGCCGUAACUAUAACGGUCCUAAGGUAGCGAAAUUCCUUGUCGGGUAAGUUCCGACCUGCACGAAUGGCGUAAUGAUGGCCAGGCUGUCUCCACCCGAGACUCAGUGAAAUUGAACUCGCUGUGAAGAUGCAGUGUACCCGCGGCAAGACGGAAAGACCCCGUGAACCUUUACUAUAGCUUGACACUGAAUAUUGAGCCUUGAUGUGUAGGAUAGGUGGGAGGCAUCGAAGCGUGGACGCCAGUCUGCGUGGAGCCAACCUUGAAAUACCACCCUUUAAUGUUUGAUGUUCUAACUCGGCCCCAUAAUCUGGGGUGAGGACAGUGUCUGGUGGGUAGUUUGACUGGGGCGGUCUCCUCCCAAAGAGUAACGGAGGAGCACGAAGGUUAGCUAAUCACGGUCGGACAUCGUGAGGUUAGUGCAAAGGCAUAAGCUAGCUUGACUGCGAGAGUGACGGCUCGAGCAGGUACGAAAGUAGGUCUUAGUGAUCCGGUGGUUCUGAAUGGAAGGGCCAUCGCUCAACGGAUAAAAGGUACUCCGGGGAUAACAGGCUGAUACCGCCCAAGAGUUCAUAUCGACGGCGGUGUUUGGCACCUCGAUGUCGGCUCAUCACAUCCUGGGGCUGAAGUAGGUCCCAAGGGUAUGGCUGUUCGCCAUUUAAAGUGGUACGCGAGCUGGGUUUAGAACGUCGUGAGACAGUUCGGUCCCUAUCUGCCGUGGGCGUUGGAAGAUUGAGAGGGGCUGCUCCUAGUACGAGAGGACCGGAGUGGACGCAUCACUGGUGUUCGGGUUGUCAUGCCAAUGGCAUUGCCCGGUAGCUAAAUGCGGAAAAGAUAAGCGCUGAAAGCAUCUAAGCGCGAAACUUGCCUCGAGAUGAGUCUUCCCUGGGGCUUUAAGCCCCCUGAAGGAACGUUAAAGACUAUGACGUUGAUAGGCUGGGUGUGUAAGUGCAGCGAUGCAUUGAGCUAACCAGUACUAAUGAUCCGUGAGGCUUAACCUUACAACACCGAAGGUGUUU
rnacentral:rRNA from 1 species